UGGCGGACGGGUGAUAACGCGUGGGUAACCUGCCUUAUACAGGGGAUAACAACCAAAUGGUUGCUAAUAGCAUACCACAGGACCGCAUGGUCCAGUGUGAAACUCCGGUGGUAUAAAUGGACCCGCGUUGGAUUAGCUAGUUGGCAGGGCAACGGCCUACCAAGGCGACGAUCCAUAGCCGGCCUGAGAGGGUGAACGGCCACAUUGGGACUGAGACACGGCCCAGACUCCUACGGGAGGCAGCAGUGGGGAAUAUUGCACAAUGGGGGAAACCCUGAUGCAGCGACGCCGCGUGAAGGAAGAAGUAUCUCGGUAUGUAAACUUCUAUCAGCAGGGAAGAUAGUGACGGUACCUGACUAAGAAGCCCCCGGCUAACUACGUGCCAGCAGCCGCGGUAAUACGUAGGGGGCAAGCGUUAUCCGGAUUUACUGGGUGUAAAGGGAGCGUAGACGGACUGGCAAGUCUGAUGUGAAAGGCGGGGGCUCAACCCCUGGACUGCAUUGGAAACUGUUAGUCUUGAGUGCCGGAGAGGUAAGCGGAAUUCCUAGUGUAGCGGUGAAAUGCGUAGAUAUUAGGAGGAACACCAGUGGCGAAGGCGGCUUACUGGAC
rnacentral:rRNA from 1 species